ensembl:lncRNA
AGAGGAAAAAGAACAAAGUGUGAAAAUAGCAAAGUGUGAGACAAGAGGAAAAAGAACACUGCUUUCCUCAUGUGUUUGUUUGUUUGUUUCAGAUGCUGAGAGACCAAGCGGUGGACGUCCAGAGAGCAGAGAUGCUGAGAGACCAAGCGGUGGACGUCCAGAGAACAGAGAUGCUCAGAGACCAAGCGGUGGACGUCCAGAGAGCAGAGAUGCUGAGAGACCAAGCGGUGGACGUCCAGAGAGCAGAGAUGCUGAGAGACCCAGCGGUGGACGUCCAGAGAGAAGAGGUGAGUUAGACUCAUACAUUGUCACGUAGGUGAUGGGUGUCUUGUGUAUCAUUUUAUUGCGGUGAUUUGCUUUGAUUACUUUGUCAUACAUUGAAGACAUGGGACUUUGCUCAUAUUUGUCUUUUAUUUGUUUCAGGGGGUGGCAGGUUGACAGAGAAAGACAGAGUGGUCGACAUGUUGAAGACAACCGAGCUGAUUGUUUGUGUUCUGGAGCUGCCACAGACUUGCUGUGGAAGCACUUCUUCUUCUUCUUCUUCUUCUUCUUCUUCUUCUUCUUCUUCUUCUUCUUCUUCUUCUUCUUCUUCUUCUUCUUCUUCUUCUUCUUCUUCUUCUUCUUCUUCUUCUUCUUCUUCUUCUUCUUCUUCUUCUUCUUCUUCUUCUUCUUCUUCUUAAUGGAAUUUCAGCCUAAAUAAAAAAAAAAAAAAAAAAAAAAAAAAAAGAGUCCAAACUGCAUUGUGGUCAAUUUUUUGAAAAGAAAAACAGUAAAGUGUG